CUCCAUUCUGUUAGUUUUUCCCGGUUGCCCUGCAGCGUCCAGCUUUUGUGAAUAGUAACAGCGUCAGAGGUGCCUUUUAUUUUGAUACUGCCUUUCAGCUGGUAACAGAGGUACCUCUGCAAUGCGUUGUGGGUAGUGGCAUAGCAAAGCUCAUUUCCCGUGACAGACGGUUCUGGCUGUGGCCUUUUGAACGGAGGGAUGUUCCGCCACCUGAACAGGUGCACCGCCCCCCCGGAGCUUGUGACCGCGAACCGUGAGAGCUGCUGGAAGAUUAAGGCGACGUACCCAGGGACGGGAGAGGCCUCAGACGGUUGGCCCAGGCACGGAAAUCCCGAUUUAGAUGCGACAGGGAGAUGAACCCGGACCAUAUCUGGGUUUGCGGGGCAAUCUGUAUCAAAUCAGGCCCCCUCUCUCUCUUAUUAAAGAUUUUAAGCGCAUGUUGCCUUUGGAAUUUUUCAAAGGCUUCUUUGGGAAGUUGUUACGUUGGAAAUUGAAAUAACCGACCCAGACGAAGGGGACACAACGCCAUCUGUCUAAACAGAAGAGGGCUUAGUGUGGAUGUCUCCAG